ACCUGGCUGGCUCAGUUGGAAAAGCACAUGACUCUUAAUCUUGGGGUCAUGAGUUUGAGCCCUGUGUUGGGUG
rnacentral:tRNA from 1 species